rnacentral:rRNA from 1 species
UACGUAGGGCGCAAGCGUUGUCCGGAAUUAUUGGGCGUAAAGAGCUCGUAGGUGGUUCGGUAAGUCGGGUGUUAAACCCCCAGGCUCAACCUGGGGACGCCACUCGAUACUGCUGUGACUAGAGUCCGGUAGGGGAGCGUGGAAUUCCUGGUGUAGCGGUGAAAUGCGCAGAUAUCAGGAGGAACACCAGCGGCGAAGGCGGCGCUCUGGGCCGGUACUGACACUGAGGAGCGAAAGCGUGGGUAGCAAACGGG